AAAGUUGUUGCAGUUAAAAAGCUCGUAGUUGGAUUUCGGGACGGCACGGUCGGUCCACCGCAAGGUGUGUCACUGGCCGGGCUGUUCUUCCUCGCAAAGACUGCGUGUGCUCUUAGCUGAGUGUGCGCAGGACUUGCGACGUUUACUUUGAAAAAAUUAGAGUGUUCAAAGCAGGCCAUCGCUUGAAUACAUAAGCAUGGAAUAAUGGAAUAGGACUUUGGUUCUAUUUUGUUGGUUUCUGGAAGCGAAGUAAUGAUUAAGAGGGACAGUUGGGGGCAUUCGUAUUUCGUUGUCAGAGGUGAAAUUCUUGGAUUUACGAAAGACGAACUACUGCGAAAGCAUUUGCCAAGAAUGUUUUCAUUAAUCAAGAACGAAAGUUAGAGGAUCGAAGACGAUCAGAUACCGUCCUAGUUCUAACCAUAAACGAUGCCGACUAGGGAUCAGAGAGUGUUAUUGGAUGACCUCUUUGGCACCUUAUGGGAAACCAAAGUUUUUGGGUUCCG
rnacentral:rRNA from 1 species